AAACGACUCUCGGCAACGGAUAUCUCGGCUCUUGCAUCGAUGAAGAACGUAGCGAAAUGCGAUACUUGGUGUGAAUUGCAGAAUCCCGUGAACCAUCGAGUUUUUGAACGCAAGUUGCGCCCGAUACCAUUAGGUUGAGGGCACGUCUGCCUGGGCGUCACACACA
rnacentral:rRNA from 18 species